rnacentral:rRNA from 1 species
AUUGAACGCUGGCGGCAGGCCUAACACAUGCAAGUCGAGCGAGAGGGGGAAGGGUGAGUGAAGUCUGGGAAAAUGCCCGAUGGAGGGGGAUAACUACAGGAAAAGGUAGCUAAUAAAGCAUACACUCAGAAGUGCCAAGAUGUGAUUAGCUAGUAGGUGGGGUAACGGCUCACCUAGGCGACGAUCCCUAGCUGGUCUGAGAGGAUGACCAGCCACACUGGAACUGAGACACUGUCCAGACUCCUACGAGAGGCAGCAGUGGUGAAUAUUGCACAAUUGGCGCAAGCCUGAUGCAGCCAUGCCGCGUGUUUGAAGAAGGCCUUCGGGUUGUAAAGCACUUUCAGCGGGGAGGCGUUACCCGCAGAAGAAGCACCGGCUAACUCCGUGCCAGCAGCCGCGGUAAUAC